rnacentral:rRNA from 1 species
GACGAACGCUGGCGGCGUGCUUAACACAUGCAAGUCGAACGGAAAGGCCCUGCUUUUGUGGGGUGCUCGAGUGGCGAACGGGUGAGUAACACGUGAGUAACCUGCCCUUGACUUUGGGAUAACUUCAGGAAACUGGGGCUAAUACCGGAUAGGAGCUCCUGCUGCAUGGCGGGGGUUGGAAAGUUUCGGCGGUUGGGGAUGGACUCGCGGCUUAUCAGCUUGUUGGUGGGGUGGUGGCUUACCAAGGCUUUGACGGGUAGCCGGCCUGAGAGGGUGACCGGCCACAUUGGGACUGAGAUACGGCCCAGACUCCUACGGGAGGCAGCAGUGGGGAAUAUUGCACAAUGGGCGGAAGCCUGAUGCAGCAACGCCGCGUGCGGGAUGACGGCCUUCGGGUUGUAAACCGCUUUCGCCUGUGACGAAGCGUGAGUGACGGUAAUGGGUGAAGAAGCACCGGCUAACUACGUG